AUGGUCAACGCGCCAAGAAGCAGCAGCGGCGUGCCUGAGGAGGAACAACUGCUGCGGAGGCUGCUAUCACUCUACCGCGCCCGACAAGCCAAACUGGAGUCCCGGGAAGCGCUUGUCAUGCAGGUGGGAGUGGACAUUGAGAAGCAUGCGGAGGAGCUCCAGAGCCGCAACCAAGAGGCCCUCCGGUCCAUUGUAGAGGAGAGGGCGCAGCUUGCCGAGGCGUGGAAGGCCUUCCUCCUCAAGAAAGCAGAAGCCGAAGAGCAACAGCGGCUUGCCGCCGAGGAGCUAUUCGUGCGGGAAGGCGAGUUGACGCAGCGGAAGGUCAAUCUGGAUAGCUAUGAGGAGGAGCUUGCCACGCGCGAGGAGACACUUGGCGGGGCCCUCAAGGAAGCGAAGGAUGCUGCUGCAGCUGCCGAGGCCGCCAAGAAAGAGCUGGAGGUGAAGGUGACGCAGCUAGAGGCCGAUCUCAAGGCGAAGAAUGAAGAGCUUGCCGUGCUCCAGCGCGAGCGCGAGAAGGACGCCCUUGCCCACGGCGAGUUGCAGGGUCGUCUCCUCGAGAGGGGCAAAGAGCUGAGCGCCGCCAAGGACUCCAAUGCCGAUCUCGAGCUGAAGCUGGCUACGCUGACUGAGACGCUGGACGGCGCCAACAAGCGGGAGGAGGACUUGAAGGAGGAGACCAAGGCCAACGAGGCGCUGCUGACGAGGGCCGCCGAAACCCAGAACACCUUCAGGGAUACUGUGGAGGUCUGGACGGAGGGCCUCGUGAAUAUUGCCGCGGUCAUUGACGAGGAGCUGGCGCAACUGGAAAUGGAGGGCUUCGGGUACUCCUCCGACGAGAACCUCCAGCCCAGCGCCAAGCUCACUCUGUUCUUCAAGGGCGUGGCGACGGCCCUCCAGCAACUCCGGGAAAGGAUCCCAAAGCUGCUGGCCGACGAGUCGCACACGAUCUGCGCCAGAGUUCUGGAGAAGGUGUUGGUGAAGGUGGCCUUCCGCAACCCAGGCCUCAACCUCACCAAUGUCCUCAAGAAGCUGCCGGUGGGUGCUGAUCUUGAAGAGCUCAAGGCCCUUGUCGCACCCAUUGUGGACAAGGUGAAUGAAGUUAGGAGGGUUGAUGGCAGCCGUGUAGACUAG
rnacentral:rRNA from 1 species